CCAGAGAACUUAGCAGAGAUGCUUUGGUGCCUUCGGGAACUCUGAGACAGGUGCUGCAUGGCUGUCGUCAGCUCGUGUUGUGAAAUGUUGGGUUAAGUCCCGCAACGAGCGCAACCCUUAUCCUUUGUUGCCAGCGGUUCAGCCGGGAACUCAAAGGAGACUGCCGGUGAUAAACCGGAGGAAGGUGGGGAUGACGUCAAGUCAUCAUGGCCCUUACGGCCAGGGCUACACACGUGCUACAAUGGCGCAUACAAAGAGAAGCGACCUCGCGAGAGCAAGCGGACCUCAUAAAGUGCGUCGUAGUCCGGAUUGGAGUCUGCAACUCGACUCCAUGAAGUCGGAAUCGCUAGUAAUCGUAGAUCAGAAUGCUACGGUGAAUACGUUCCCGGGCCUUGUACACACCGCCCGUCACACCAUGGGAGUGGGUUGCAAAAGAAGUAGGUAGCUUAACCUUCGGGAGGGCGCUUACCACUUUGUGAUUCAUGACUGGGGUGAAGUCGUAACAAGGUAGGCGUAGCGAG
rnacentral:rRNA from 1 species